rnacentral:lncRNA from 1 species
UGAAAAUUCAAUUAUAGAAAGGGCAAAACUGAUAAUUCUUAUUAUCAGAAAGCCCUAUUCUCUCAACAAUUGCGAAAAUGAAAUUGGGGAAAUCUAAGUUUUAGGGUUCGUUCUUCGUCAGUCAUGGCUACACUCACUAAUAAUCUACUAUUCAAAUCCCCAUCUCUCUUUCCCCACACCUAAAGCUUCUUCCUCUUCUUUCUCAUGCCUCUACUCUACCUUUUCUACCUAAAAUUUCCUCCUUACGGAUAUCAAUCACCCCCAACUAUAAUCGGACACCGUUAAUCUCCAAAGCCACGGCGGCUCCAAGCGCCAAGAAAGCAGAAAAGAAAGAGGGAGUUCAGCGGGUCCACAACAUUCAGGAGUUUGAUUCGGCGCUCGAGUGACACGAACACCCUAGUACUUGAGAAUUUCGCCGAUGAGCUCCCCUUUGUCGGAAUCGACAUACCUGCCC